AGUGACUCAGGUUCAGAAAAGGAGUGGCUCUCAACCAGAGGCAAUUUUUCCCUCCAGGUACACUUGCUAAUGUCUGGACACAGUUUUGGUUGUUACGACUGGGCUGGUGAUGCUGGAGCAAUGGCAGCCACCGGAAACCCCAAGGCGAAGGCCAGAGAAUCCCAAAGACGCAGACAGAGACCUCUUAGAACUGGAGAGUAACCCAAGUUGGAGUUGCCUUUUCUGGACUUCUUGUUAAGUCUGAUGGGGUUCAUCACAUCUGAGCCAGGACUGGCUUUUCUUGGCUGCAAGCUGGGUCCAGGUCUGCUAUACUGAGGGUCUCCCAUCUUCCUUGGACCAGUGACAACCAGAGGCCUAUUUCUGUCAUAAUGGAAGGCAGGAGAACAAGCAGGCAAGACCAGCUGUGCUAGCACAUGCUGCCUCUCUGCCUACAUCACACCUGCUAAUGUCCCAUUGGCUAAAGCAAGUCACACAAGCAAACCCGACAUCAACAGGACAAGGAAACAGACUCCACCUCUAGAGGCACAAACUACAAAGUCACAUGACACAGGGCAUGGAUUUAGGGAAGGAAGAUGGAGAAUGACAACAAUGACCCUCAAUAACACAACCUCCCACAGGUUUCCAAAUCCCCAUCCCAGGCAUAUUUCCAAGGAAACUGAAUCAUGGGUUCAGGAUUUUAGAGCAAGCAAUUUCUGUUCUCCCAGCUUAGUUUCCACACCCUUAACACAGGGGCAAUGAUGUUGCAUCAAAUCGUAUCUUAGAAGUUUGUGAUGACGUUUAAACAACUAAAUGCCAAAAAAGUGCUUAGGUCAGGGCUGGGUAGGAGGGGCAGAAGCCAAUGGUAACAAGUAGCAUCACUGUUAACCCGCAAAGUUCUGGGAAUUUCCUUGAAAGUCUGAUUAGAGAAUCAUGUCCCCAA